UACAGAGGGUGCGAGCGUUGUUCGGAAUUACUGGGCGUAAAGCGCGCGCAGGCGGCCUUUUAAGUCUCACCGUUCAAGCCCGGAGCUCAACUCCGGUCCGCGGGGGAUACUGGGAGGCUAGGGACAUGUAGGGGCGAGCGGAAUUCCGGGUGUAGCGGUGGAAUGCGUAGAGAUCCGGAAGAACACCGGGGCGAAGGCGGCUCGCUGGGCAUGGUCCGACGCUGAGGCGCGAAAGCGUGGGGAGCGAACAGG
rnacentral:rRNA from 1 species